rnacentral:rRNA from 1 species
UGGGGAAUCAUAGACAAUGGGCGAAAGCCUGAUCUUGCCAUGCCGCGUGAGCGAUGAAGGCCUUAGGGUUGUAAAGCUCUUUCACCGGUGAAGAUAAUGACGGUAGCCGGAGAAGAAGCCCCGGCUAACUCCGUGCCAGCAGCCGCGGUAAUACGGAGGGGGCUAGCGUUGUUCGGAAUUACUGGGCGUAAAGCGCACGUAGGCGGGCUGUUAAGUCGGGGGUGAAAUCCCGGGGCUCAACCCCGGAACUGCCUUCGAUACUGGCAGCCUAGAGGACGAGAGAGGCAAGUGGAAUGGCGAGUGUAGAGGUGAAAUUCGUAGAUAUUCGCCGGAACACCAGUGGCGAAGGCGGCUUGCUGGCUCGUUUCUGACGCUGAGGUGCGAAAGCGUGGGGAGCAAACAGGAUUAGAUACCCCCGUAGUCC